CGGGUGUCCCUCUAUUCAUCUCUGAGGAUUUCAUAGCACAAGUCCUGCAUCUUCCCCAAGUAGGGGUAUCUCCUACACACCCUGAGGAUAGGACUGAGGCCCUUACGGCCAUUUUAGGGAGUCCACCCCAGUCCCCACUCGAUGAGGUGUCCGCUAGUUCACUGUCAGUUGAAAUGCGGCUCCUCUUGAGUAUCAUCUCUAGGACCC
rnacentral:lncRNA from 1 species